CGAAUGGACAUUUACGAGUACAAGUGGAGAAGAACUGACAAACAAGGACACACUGAAAAAAGUACAUCCUAAAUUACGAUCAAGAGGAUCAACCACUGUCCCUGUACCAAGAGGAGAGAAAGCCAUCUAUGAACACCAUGAGGUUGUAGAAAUACAUCCCAAAUUAACGGUACCAGUAAGAUCACAAGGAUCAACCACUGAGGACAUCUAUGAGCAUGAUGAAGUUAUCG